UCCUACGGGAGGCAGCAGUGAGGAAUAUUGGUCAAUGGGCGAGAGCCUGAACCAGCCAAGUCGCGUGAAGGAUGACGGCCCUACGGGUUGUAAACUUCUUUUGUCAGGGAGCAAUUGGGUCCACGCGUGGGCUUAGCGAGAGUACCUGAAGAAAAAGCAUCGGCUAACUCCGUGCCAGCAGCCGCGGUAAUACGGAGGAUGCGAGCGUUGUCCGGAUUUACUGGGUGUAAAGGGCGUGUAGCCGGGUUGACAAGUCAGAUGUGAAAUCCUGCGGCUUAACCGCAGAACUGCAUUUGAAACUGUUG
rnacentral:rRNA from 1 species